CUGUCGCUGGCACGAUGAGUGCGGGAGGAAAGUCCGGGCAGCAUAGGGCAUCCCACUUCUGAAAAUGGAAGCUGUUGGUGACAGCAGGCUAUGGCAGAAGAAAACAACCGCCUUCCUUCGGGUUGGCAAGGGUGAGAAGGUGGUGUAAGAGACCACCAGCCGGCGGGUGAUCGUCGGGCUGUGCCAGCUGGGAGCUGCAAGUUCGCGUAAACCAUCGACUGAGGGUUGCCCGUCCGAGUAAUGCGAUGGAGGGUGGAACGCUCGAGCCGGGAGGUGACUUCCGGCCUAGAUAAAUGACAGGCUCUGACGUGUAAAAGCGUUUAGACAGAACCCGGCUUACAGGGGGUCU
rnacentral:RNase_P_RNA from 1 species